rnacentral:rRNA from 1 species
GAUGAACGCUGGCGGCGUGCCUAAUACAUGCAAGUCGAGCGAACAGAUGAGGAGCUUGCUCCUCUGACGUUAGCGGCGGACGGGUGAGUAACACGUGGAUAACCUACCUAUAAGACUGGGAUAACUUCGGGAAACCGGAGCUAAUACCGGAUAAUAUAUUGAACCGCAUGGUUCAAUAGUGAAAGACGGUUUUGCUGUCACUUAUAGAUGGAUCCGCGCCGCAUUAGCUAGUUGGUAAGGUAACGGCUUACCAAGGCAACGAUGCGUAGCCGACCUGAGAGGGUGAACGGCCACACUGGAACUGAGACACGGUCCAGACUCCUAAGGGAGGCAGCAGUAGGGAAUCUUCCGAAAUGGGCGAAAGCCUGACGGAGCAAAGCCGCGUGAAUGAUGAAGGUCUUCGGAUCGUAAAACUCUGUUAUUAGGGAAGAACAAAUGUGUAAGUAAAUAUGCACGUCUUGACGGUACCCAAACAGAAAGCCACGGGUAACUACGUG